UGCAACUAAAGGUGACCUCUUCGUUUGAAAGUUACCGUUUGGAGAUGACCUUGCGGCCCAUUAGCUUGUUGGCGGGGUAACGGCCCACCAAUGCUGCGAUGGGUAGCCGGCCUGAGAGGGUGAUCGGCCACAUUGGGACUGAGAUACGGCCCAGACUCCUACGGGAGGCAGCAGUAGGGAAUUUUGCGCAAUGGACGAAAGUCUGACGCAGCAACGCCGCGUGAGCGAUGAAGGUCUUCGGAUCGUAAAGCUCUGUUGAGUGGGAAGAAACGUCUCGGGGUUAAUAUCUCCGAUGCCUGACUGUACCACUCGAGGAAGCUCCGGCCAACUACGUGCCAGCAGCCGCGGUAAUACGUAGGGAGCGAGCGUUGUUCGGAAUCACUGGGCGUAAAGGGAGUGCAGGCGGAAAGGUAAGUCAGAAGUGUAAUCUACGGGCUUAACCCGUAUCUCGCUUUUGAUACUGCUUUUCUUGAGUAGUGGAGAGGGAAACGGAAUUCCAGGUGUAGCGGUGGAAUGCGUAGAUAUCUGGAAGAACACCAGUAGCGAAGGCGGUUUCCUGGCCACAUACUGACGCUGAGGCUCGAAAGCGUGGGGAGCAAACAGGAUUAGAUACCCUGGUAGUCCACGCCGUAAACGAUGGGCACUAGAUAUCGGGGAAUUCGAUUUCUUCGGUGUCGCAGUUAACGCGAUAAGUGCCCCGCCUGGGGAGUACGCCCGCAAGGGUGAAACUCAAAGGAAUUGACGGGGGCCCGCACAAGCGGUGGAGCAUGCGCUUUAAUUCGAUGCAACGCGAAGAACCUUACCUGGGUUUGACAUGGGAGUGAAAGUUCCUAGAGAUAGGAACCUUUCCUUCGGGAACACUCCACACAGGUGCUGCAUGGUUGUCGUCAGCUCGUGUCGUGAGAUGUUGGGUUAAGUCCCGCAACGAGCGCAACCCUCGCCCUUAGUUGCCAUCAGGUAAUGCUGGGAACUCUAGGGGGACCGCCUGGAACAACCAGGAGGAAGGUGGGGAUGAUGUCAAAUCAUCAUGGCUCUUACGUCCAGGGCUAGACGCGUGCUACAAUGGUCGGUACAGAAGGAUGCCAAGUCGUGAGACCGAGCUAAUCCAUGAAAACCGGCCUCAGUUCGGAUUGGAGUCUGCAAUUCGACUCCAUGAAGGUGGAAUCGCUAGUAAUCGCGGAUCAGC
rnacentral:rRNA from 1 species